CAGUCCCCUCAUCUUGCCUCACAGUAAUUGGACUAGUCUUUGAUGGAUCUAAUACUGUCAGGUAACGAUGAAAGGAUUGU
rnacentral:pre_miRNA from 1 species